rnacentral:rRNA from 2 species
GGACAAUUGAAUUCGGGCCCUAAUAUAUGCAAGUCGAACGGCAGUCACGGGUACUUGUACCUGGUGGCGAGCGGCGGACGGGUGAGAAAGGCCUAGGAAUCUGCCUGGUAGUGGGGGAUAACGCUCGGAAACGGACGCUAAUACCGCAUACGUCCUACGGGAGAAAGCAGGGGACCUUCGGGCCUUGCGCUAUCAGAUGAGCCUAGGUCGGAUUAGCUAGUUGGUGAGGUAAUGGCUCACCAAGGCGACGAUCCGUAACUGGUCUGAGAGGAUGAUCAGUCACACUGGAACUGAGACACGGUCCAGACUCCUACGGGAGGCAGCAGUGGGGAAUAUUGGACAAUGGGCGAAAGCCUGAUCCAGCCAUGCCGCGUGUGUGAAGAAGGUCUUCGGAUUGUAAAGCACUUUAAGUUGGGAGGAAAGGCAUUUACCUAAUACGAAAGUGUUUUGUUUUUACCGACUCAAUAAGCACCGGCUAAUUCUGUGCCAGCUGCCGCGGAGGUCCAGACGGUGAAAGGUCCUUCCGGUUUUUCCGAUUUAAACCAUUGGCCCCACGGUUUGUGGGCCCCCCGCCAAUUCAUCUGAGUUUUACCCUGGGGGGCGUACUCCAAGGCGGCCACCUUAGGGCGUUAGCUGCCCCCCUAAAACCUCAGCGCCCCCCCCGGCUUGUAGACAUCUUUUU